rnacentral:ncRNA from 1 species
CCCGCUGAGUUUAAGCAUAUCAAUAAGCGAAGGAAAAGAAACUAACAAGGAUUCUCUUAGUAACGGCGAGCGAACCGAGAACAACCCACCAUGAAAAUUGGUCGCCCCUGACAUUCGAAUUGUAGUCUAGAGAAGCGUCCUCAGUGGCGAACUGGGCCCAAGUCCCCUGGAAGGGAGCGCCAGAGAGGGUGAGAACCCCGUUGUGCCCGGACCCUAUCGUAUCACGAGGCGUUGUGAGUCGGGUUGUUUGGGAAUGCAACCCCAAUAAAACGAUAAAUUCCGUCCAAGACUAAAUACUAGAGAGAGACCAAUAAUGAACGAGUACCGCGAGG